GAUAACAGUAGAAAAUAUGUUAUUUGGACCUUUAGAAUUAAAAGAAUAUACUAAAAAUAAUAAAAUAUUUUGGAUAUAUUAUUAUAAAGCAAAAAUAGAAUAAGAAAGACUUCUAAAAGAGCUCCUAACAAUCUCUUAUAAGAAUGUGUCAAAGAUUUAAAAAAAAAAAAAAAAAAAAAAAAAAAAAAUCAACAAAUCAACAAAUCAACAAAUUGGUGACGUACUUUGCUAGAUGGGUUUGAAUUGCGUAUGUUCUAGUCUAGACAAUUUUGGACCGAGCAAGUUAUAUCAAUAAUGUUAAAUGGACAAGGUAUGAAGCACUAAAAUUUGAAUGUAACAAAAUUAGUGAGGGCAACAAGACGAGGUGGUGCAAAGUGUAGUAUAUAGUAGAUAAGGAAGUCGAAUAGUGGAUGAUUUGGUAGGAGACAUGUAUGCUGCCUAAAGUGUUUGUGCUGAGGGAGAAGUGAGAAUAGCUGAAUAAAGUAGCAAUUUGUGCCAAAGUUGGAUGAAAAAUCAAAUAUGAUCUAGUUUCAUGAGAUAAGUGGGAGACUCUAAGAAGAAGAAUGUGAGGAUUAUAGCAAAAUAAGAUUGUUGGUCAUAGGGCAUAAGAGUAAAUCCAGAUCAGUAGAAAAAGUUGCUAAUUAGGAAGAAGAAGGGGUGCUACUUUUAAAAGAGUUCAAAUUGACUAAAGAGAAGCAAUGUUGGUGCUACGUUGGAUUGAUAUUGAUGGAUCUAAGCUGUGUAGUUGUUUCAAAGGAGGCAGUGAGAUGAAGGCGUUCCUAUCAAAGGAAAUUAGAGGAGUGGCUUUGCAGAGGCGUGGAGACAAUUUACUAGCAUUAAAGAGAGGACAUGACUUAGGACUUAAUGACCAUGUUAGAUUGGUCGAGAUUUGCUAUGUCGUUGCAAGGUGAUAGUUGAUUUCUAGUAGUGGUUCGACAACAAGUUUGGAAGGAUUCUUAUAUAUAUUUUUUGGUGUAAUAAUAAGCAAUUGUGGUGUUGUGAUUAAUGUUUUAGUAUGGUUGUUUCUUUGUUGAAAAAAGUGAUGCAUGUAAGAACUCUCAUGAGCUGAUUCUUGGAUAGUUUAAAUAAAU
rnacentral:lncRNA from 1 species